AAAGGGAAACUAAGUACGGACCUGUUUCACAUGAAACGUUCUCUCAGAUACUUUGAAGAGGAGUCCAAGGAUCUGGUCGGCCACCUGCAACAUUCAUUGCAGCAUAGAGGGGAGUUACAGCGGGCUCUCUCUGCUGUCACCGCCACACAGAAGAAGGUGGAUAGGUUCUCAAGCCGCAGUCAAGCACUUACUGAGUGGCAGUUAGAGUGGUCCAUACAGGAGAAGGCACGGCUGAAAGCAAGCCUGACACAGUUGAAGGAGUCACUAAGACAAACCCAUCUAGAGAGAGAUGAAUAUGUUCAACAUCUAAAAGGAGGGCCCAGUGGCAGCACAGGAUGAGGAAAAUGUCACAGGAGUCGGUGGCCUACAGUUUAAAUAGUAAGAAAAGGGUAUGCCAUUUGAGGAUGGGGAAAAAGACAUGGGGUUCUAGGAAAGGGAGGCAGUCACUGAGACCUGGAGCAAGGGGCCCAGGUCCUGGGAAGACGACAGAGCCCCACAGUGCCCUCACUACCCUAUUAAUGGGCCCAGAAUCUGGAAGCCAGCCGCCACGUGCCCUCACACCCAGGGUCUUCCUGCGGGUGGAGCUGAAGAGCCAAGAGGCUCAGAGUCUGCAGCAGCAGCCAGACCAUUAUCUGGGUCACCUGCAGCAGGCUGUGGCCAUCUAUCAGCAGCAGGUGGCCGCCUAUCAGCAACCGACCUCUGAGAAGGAGGCGCUGCACAGGCAGUUACUGCAGCAGACUCAGCUAAUGAACCAGCUGCAGCAGCAGGAAGCUUGGGGCAAAGCGGAGCACCUGGAGGCUGCCAGGCAGCAGAAUCAGCAGCUGCAGGACCAGUUAAGCCUCACGGCUCUCCCUGGGGAAGGAGAUGGAAGACAACAUGUGGACAGUGAGGAGGAGGAGGGUCCUCGGCCUAUGCUGAGGGUCUCACAGGACCUGGAGAGCUGGGAGGCCAUGAGCGGCUGUAUGGACCACCUGGAGGAGAAGGCGGACCUGAGGGAGCAGGUGGAGAAACAAGAACUUUGAUUCAUCCAGUACUGGAGAGAGAGAUGCCAUCAGAACGUUCAUCACCUUGUAACAGAGCCAGGGGCUAGUGCCAAAGAUGCGGCAAUGGGAGGAGGACAUCAUCAGGCUGGCCCAGGGCAGGGAGGAGAUGAAGGUGAAGCUGCUGGCGCUGCAGGAGAUGCUGUUGCAGCUUGUGGUGACUACAACAAGGGGCACCACAAAUUCCUGGCCACUGCCCAGAACACUGCUGAUGAGCCCGGUCCAGGAGCCCCAGCCCCCCAGGAGCUUGGGGCUGCCGACAAGCAUGGUGAUCUUUGUGAGGUGAGCCUCACCGACAGCGAGGAGCCUGCACAAGCAGAGGCCACGAAGGGAUCUCCCCAGGACAACCAUUCUGCACAGCCCACGUGCAGGAGCACCAGGAGCACCCAGGCUUGGGCAGCAACCGCUCUGUGCCCUUCUUUUGCUGGGCUUGGCUGCAGAGAAGAAGGAGAUAAACAUCACCAUCAUCAAAGAGCUGCUCAAGACAUUUUUUAAAAAGAAACAAACUUGUGGGGUUAAUCUCCUACACAAUUCAUUUACUUCAUUUG